UACGUAGGGUGCGAGCGUUGUUCGGAAUUACUGGGCGUAAAGGGCGCGUAGGCGGCCUGUUAAGUCGAACGUGAAAUCCCUGGGCUCAACCCAGGAACUGCGUCCGAUACUGGCAGGCUUGAAUCCGGGAGAGGGAUGUGGAAUUCCAGGUGUAGCGGUGAAAUGCGUAGAUAUCUGGAGGAAUACCGGUGGCGAAGGCGGCAUCCUGGACCAUUACUGACGCUGAGGCGCGAAAGCUAGGGGAGCAAACGGG
rnacentral:rRNA from 1 species